GCUGGGCGUGGUGGCUCAUGCCUGUAAUCCUAACACUUUGGGAGGCCGAGGCGGGUGGAUCACCUGAGGUCAGGAGUUUGAGACCAGCCUGGCCAACAUGGUGAAACCCCGUCUCUA
rnacentral:SRP_RNA from 1 species